UACGUAGGUGGCAAGCGUUGUCCGGAUUUAUUGGGUUUAAAGGGUGCGUAGGCGGCCCUGUAAGUCAGUGGUGAAAUACUCCAGCUUAACUGGAGGGGUGCCAUUGAUACUGCAGGGCUUGAGUGGAGUCGAAGUAGGCGGAAUUGACGGUGUAGCGGUGAAAUCCUUAGAUAUCGUCAAGAACACCGAUAGUGAAGACAGCUUACUAGGCUUCUACUGACGCUGAGGCACGAAAGUGUGGGGAUCAAACAGG
rnacentral:rRNA from 1 species